rnacentral:misc_RNA from 1 species
CCGUUCGAGCGUCAUUACACCACUCAAGCCUCGCUUGGUAUUGGGCGUCGCGACACCGCGUGCCUCUAAUUUCUCGGCUGGACGGUCUGAAUCUCAGCGUUGUGGAUUAUUCAAUUCGCUGGCGACGACGACCGGACGCGCCGUUAAACCCUUCUUUACAGGUUGACCUCGGAUCGGGUAGGGAUACCCGCUGAACUUAA